rnacentral:rRNA from 1 species
GAUGAACGCUGGCGGCGUGCCUAAUACAUGCAAGUCGAGCGAACAGACGAGGAGCUUGCUCCUCUGACGUUAGCGGCGGACGGGUGAGUAACACGUGGAUAACCUACCUAUAAGACUGGGAUAACUUCGGGAAACCGGAGCUAAUACCGGAUAAUAUAUUGAACCGCAUGGUUCAAUAGUGAAAGACGGUUUUGCUGUCACUUAUAGAUGGAUCCGCGCCGCAUUAGCUAGUUGGUAAGGUAACGGCUUACCAAGGCGACGAUGCGUAGCCGACCUGAGAGGGUGGUAGGCCACACUAGAGCUGGGCCAGGCUCCAGACGCCUACGGGAGGCAGCAGUAGGGAAUCUUCCGCAGUGGGCGAAAGCCUGACGGAGCAACGCCGCGUGAGUGAUGAAGGUCUUCGGAUCGUAAAACUCUGUUAUUAGGGAAGAACAAAUGUGGAAGUAACUAUGCACGUCUUGACGGUACCUAAUCAGAAAGCCACGGCUAACUACGUG